GUGGUCAUAAACCUUGUGUCAAAAUUUCAUAGAUUUCUAUUUACUUAAACUAAAGUAAUAGUGCGAAAACCAAGAAAAUGCUUAUUUGGGCCCUUUUUGGCCCCUAAUUCCUAAAAUGUUGGGACCAAAACUUCCAAAAUCAAUCCCAACCUUCCUUUUGUGGUAAUAAACCUUGUGUUAAAAUUUCAUAGAUUUCUAUUCACAUUUACUAAAGUUAGAGUGCGAAAACUAAAAGUAUUCGGAGGACGACGACGCAGACGACGAUGCCAACAUCAUACCAAUAUACACCAAAAAAUUUUCAAUUUUUGCGGUCG
rnacentral:lncRNA from 1 species